rnacentral:rRNA from 1 species
UACGGGGGGAGCAAGCGUUGUUCGGAUUUACUGGGCGUAAAGGGCGCGUAGGCGGUCAGCACAAGUCAGUUGUGAAAUCUCCGGGCUUAACUCGGAAAGGUCAACUGAUACUGUGCGACUAGAGUGCGGAAGGGGCUACUGGAAUUCUCGGUGUAGCGGUGAAAUGCGUAGAUAUCGAGAGGAACACCUGCGGCGAAGGCGGGUAGCUGGGCCGACACUGACGCUGAGGCGCGAAAGCUAGGGGAGCGAACGGG